GCAGACAGUGUAAUGGAGCAGCAGGAAAUGCUAGCGGAAUGCUUGGUUGUAUAGGGAGAGCAGUAGAAAGAGGGAAGUGCCAUUAUACAGAAAACUGGUGAAACCUCAUUUGGAGUAUUGUUUGCAGUACUGUAGACCGUAUCUCCAGAAGGAUAUUGAUACUUUAGAGAGACUUCAGAGAAGGGCUAGAUCUUGUCCAGCCUUGACUCUAAAUCUAGAGGUACAGCACAGGGGUUAGGAAGACAUAUU